ACUUGAUGACACUUACAUGUACUACUUGAAAUAUGAGCAGAAAUCUUUAAGAGACCGAGAGGAUCCACACAGAUCUCCAGGGCCACUUCUCAACCAUUUCUGGACAGCCAAGACACACUACAUGUGCUCACUGCUCUGCUCAGCUUGUUUCUUCAUGCAAUCCCUGAGUCAGUUCCGCUGGGCCGCCUUUCCUCCACCAUGUCACGACGAAACGUCUAACCAAGA